rnacentral:rRNA from 1 species
GUAGUCCACGCUGUAAACGAUGUCGAUUUGGAGGUUGUGCCCUUGAGGCGUGGCUUCCGGAGCUAACGCGUUAAAUCGACCGCCUGGGGAGUACGGCCGCAAGGUUAAAACUCAAAUGAAUUGACGGGGGCCCGCACAAGCGGUGGAGCAUGUGGUUUAAUUCGAUGCAACGCGAAGAACCUUACCUACUCUUGACAUCCAGAGAACUUUCCAGAGAUGGAUUGGUGCCUUCGGGAACUCUGAGACAGGUGCUGCAUGGCUGUCGUCAGCUCGUGUUGUGAAAUGUUGGGUUAAGUCCCGCAACGAGCGCAACCCUUAUCCUUUGUUGCCAGCGGUUCGGCCGGGAACUCAAAGGAGACUGCCAGUGAUAAACUGGAGGAAGGUGGGGAUGACGUCAAGUCAUCAUGGCCCUUACGAGUAGGGCUACACACGUGCUACAAUGGCAUAUACAAAGAGAAGCGACCUCGCGAGAGCAAGCGGACCUCAUAAAGUAUGUCGUAGUCCGGAUUGGGGUCUGCAACUCGACUCCAUGAAGUCGGAAUCGCUAGUAAUCGUAGAUCAGAAUGCUACGGUGAAUACGUUCCCGGGCCUUGUACACACCGCCCGUCACACCAUGGGAGUGGGUUGCAAAAGAAGUAGGUAGCUUAACCUUCGGGAGGGCGCUUACCACUUUGUGAUUCAUGACUGGGGUGAAGUCGUAACAAGGUAACC